rfam:Salmo salar isolate Sally breed double haploid chromosome ssa10, whole genome shotgun sequence.
UGGCUCAGUUGGUAGGGCAUGGUGUUUGCAAUGCCAGGGUUGUGGGUUCGAUUCCCAU